rnacentral:rRNA from 1 species
CAGUAGCCACGGGAAUACGAAGGGUGCAAGCGUUACUCGGAAUUACUGGGCGUAAAGCGUGCGUAGGUGGUUGUUUAAGUCUGCUGUGAAAGCCCUGGGCUCAACCUGGGAAUUGCAGUGGAUACUGGGCGACUAGAGUAAGGUAGAGGAUAGUGGAAUUUCCGGUGUAGCAGUGAAAUGCGUAGAGAUCGGAAGGAACAUCUGUGGCGAAGGCGACUAUCUGGGCCAACACUGACACUGAGGCACGAAAGCGUGGGGAGCAAACAGGAUUAGAUACCCGAGUAGUCCCUGUCUCUUAUAC